UUUCUGUAACUUGAUAAUGUUAGAGGUUAUUCUGCCACUGGGAGACGGGGAUUAUAUCAAGUGGAUUUGACAAGUAAUAAACCCUUUGGAAGAGAACCAAUACAACUUCUAAUUUCUUAUGGAAGAGCGCUUGACUUAGCAGUGAUGUUGAGGUGUUAACGUAAUGGAUAUUCAGGAUAUUUAAAAGGAAGAGCGGAUUUUUGUGGGAGUCUGGCGUGUCUGGAGAGGAUAUCUUAAUCAGCGUCAUGACGGAGUCCUCCAAACCCCCUUCUGGGAGGAGAAUGAAAGUUCCUGCCCCACCUCCACCGCAGGCCCCCCAACCUGCUCCCCGUCACUUGUUCCGGUACUCUGUACCUGAUGGAGGAGGGACAUCAGCCAUGGAUGUCAAGGAAAACAUCCUAAGGCCCACCGUCAUUUUCCAGCUAACUCUUCCACAUGGCUACCAGGUUUCUGUAACAGAGGAUGGAAGUAAACCUUUGAUGGAUUUGCUGGUCGAUCUGUGUGGCCACCACCAUCUUAACCCAUCAAUGCACACCUUGGAGCUGCUUUCCCCCGAGGGUCACUCUUUGGGAUUCAAGCCUAACGCCCUGCUCGGCUCCUUCAAUGUGGCCUGUGUGCUCAUCAAGGAGAAAGUCGUGGAGGAGAAAGUGACGCGUAAACCAGCUCCUAAAGUGCCAGAGAAAACUGUGCGGUUGAUGGUGAAUUUCCACGGCAACCAGAAGGCCGUGUUACGGGUCAACCCGCUGGUUCCGCUCCAGGCUUUGAUACCGGCCAUCUGCGACAAGUGUGAUUUUGACCCUGCACAUGUCCUGCUCCUGAAAGACUGCACCAGUCGCCACGAGUUACCGCUGGACAAAUCUCUGACAGAGCUGGGCAUUAAAGAACUCUACGUGCAUGAUCAGAGUCUAGUUUUACAGCCUAAAAUGGCUUCUGCCCCUGUUCUGAACAACUCAGAUUCUUUUUAUUCCAGUACUGCUAGCCUGGGAAGACCCCAAAAGAAAGGAUUGCUAAAUAUUUUCCCAUUCAGCAAAAGGAAAUCAAAGACUGACAAUAAGUCUUUGGACAUGGAUGACUUUGAUGAUAUUGCAGUUCAAAACUCUGACACAAAAUUCAAUGGUCUGUCCACUGUGUCAGGGGUCUCUUAUAAAGAGGAACAUCCAGGCUCCCUGGAGCAGUCUCAGUCCUUCACUGAUAUUCCCACGAUGCAUGCCAAAGCUGAGUCCAAGAAGAGAAGGGCCCCAGCACCACCUGCUGUCCCAGUACCCAGCCAAGGAAACACAAGCUUUAAGAGCAAUCAGGAGGGCCCUAGUUCAGAAGGCCAAAGGAAGAGAAAGGCUCCACCUCCUCCACCCACACCUUCCCCUAUCACUCUGGAUUCUGAUGAUCCUUCAGCAACUGUUGUUUCCGUUUCCAAUCCCCCCAGCAUUGAAAUUCCCACCCCAGUCCCCCGUACCAGAACACCACUAUUGCACAUGUUCUCUGAGGACUCUGUGGUCAUGCAGACAGCAGACGUUUCUCUUGGUGGAAAGGCACCAAAACCUCCGCCCGUGCGCGAUGCCACUCCACCCCGAAGUUCUCCGUCCCCCAGCAGCAGCACCACCACAGACAGCCUGGUUGUGCAGGACUCCAGCUCCGAGCUCAGCCGCAGCCUUGACGACUCGGAUGUCGACCUCGACCAGGCCGGUUCCCGCUGCAGCACCAGUAGCGCGGCCAGUGGGCCUGUGCAGGUCCAGCUCACGAUAAAAAAGUCCAACAUGACGGCCACCCAACAAAAUAAAGAGAAAAGUUCUGACAGCAAUUCCAGGUCAGACUCUGAAUUGGCCCUGAAUCUCACACUGGAUGAAGCGGAGAACAACAGACACAGCGGAAUGGGUUGGCUUCAUUCCAAAAAGGCUUCAUCCAUUGUCCAGAAACAAGAAACCACGGCGCCUGAGGCUGAAACUCUUUCUCUAGGCAGCAGCAGCGUUGGCGGCAGCCUUCCCAACCAAGGUUAUACACCUUCUGAAGGUGCGGCAGAGGGCGAGGACUCUGGCAUCGUCAGUUCCCUGUCUGAUACCCAGAUGACCUCUCCGGAUGGGAGUUUAUCAGCUGAUGGAAAGAUGGGUGACACAGGAGAGAGAGUACUCAUUAUGGCGGCUUCAAGUGACAGGGAUGAAGAAAAUACCACUUGGGGAGAAAAAGACAGUGUCAGAAGCCCUCAUCCAGAAUCAGUCAACGGCUUUAAAGAAGACUCUGAGCUCACAAUCCAGCUUCAUCAGACUUUGGCAAAUAUGGAAGCAGGCCUUGCAGAACAUGAAGUCGUCAUCUCUGCCAAAGAUAGCAUUGAUACCAAGUCCACAGACAGCAGCGAUGUUCCUGUGUCUGUAGUGGACAUGUAUGUGCCAGUCACAGCCAUAGAUGAGGUACUGGAGGAAUUUGAAUUUGUUGUAGGGCAUGAAGUGAAACCUCUUACAAAGACUGAAUCAACUGACAGCAAAGGCUUCAUUCAUCACUCUGAUGAUGAGCAACAGAACCAAAACAACAGUGCUUAUACAGCUGCUCUUACCGACAAAAGAAGCAGUGCAAGUUCAAAACCCUCUGAAAAGUCUAUUGCACGACAGGAGAUCAAAUCUACAGGUAAUAAAAAGGAGAAAAAGGCAAAAGACAAAAAAAGUAAAGAGAAGAAGACUGCUGAAAGCGCCACUACGAAAGAGGACACGCAAACACUGGCAGUGAAAUCCAGUGCUGACCUGCAGAAGACCAGCAAGCCUCCUGUGACCACAGUUGACCUGGCGCAACAUAACACUCAGUCCUUCCAGCAGAAGAAGUUUGAACUUCCAGCAAAGAUUCAGAGAUCAGUUUCUCCUGGGAAGGAUGAAGUGACGCAUAAAGUAAACCAGAUCAGCUCUAGUGUCAGUCCACUGCAUGGUAAAAUUACUCACAAUGUCACAUCCCGCUUUGGCAUGAAAACAUUCACAGUGGUACCUUCAAAACCCUUUGUGACAAACAUCACCAAGACAGAGCCAACUGACUCAGGAGGUCGGUUUGCUAUUAAGAUCGAUGAUCAGGGGAAUAUGGUGGCAGCAGGCGUACCUCGCUUAAAAUCCAGAGAGUCACCUAGAUCGGAGAUUGAAAAUGGCACUCCUGUUUGUGAAAAUGCCAAAGCACUUUGGAGCUCUGACAGUAGAAAAGAAAAUUUGGUGACUCAAAGAAAAGGUCAAGUUAAUAAACUUAAGGAGGGCACAGAUGUCCUGAGCAUUGCCUCUGCUGUUGGCUUGGAAGGAAAAUUAAAGACCAGCAACCCUGAGUCCCAGAAAGCAACACCAAGACUAACGGUUGAAACUACAGUGGGAGUGAAAGAAGAUCACAAACUGCUUAGAAAAGACAUGAGUCCAAGCAGAGAGUUGGCCGAGGUGGAGAGCAAGAUUUCAGUGUCCAACAAUGUUCAGAGGCCAAGUAAUAAACCCUCACUUCCCCCUCCUCUACAUUCGGACAGAAAACAGCAACUCAGCUUUGUUAAACCAUCCAGGAGGACCUCCAGCCAGUAUGUGGCUUCUGCCCUCGCUAAGUACACCCCAAAGACCUCAACUAAACCUUCUAACAUCCCUAAAACUACAGACUCCCCUGACUCAUUGAAAACAGAAAAAGCUGAAAGUUCCAAGAAACCAGUCACUCAACUCCAAUCCUCUCAGGUAUCUUUGUCAGACAUUACAGAGAAUGACUCUGCUUCCACAGUCAACGCUACUUGUUCCAAGAGGUCUACGAGCUUCCCAGAGUACAUAUCAGACAGUCAGAGAGAGUUUGCUCAGGUGAAAGUAAACAGGGAACUAUUUGAAAAUGAUGCUGCGGCCAAGAAACAAGUUUUGGAUCCAGCCGACAAAGAAACAGCCAAGAAAAAUCACAGUCACUACAACGGAUCUCCACAAAUACAAGUCUCUAGCAACGUUAAACAAAGUCAACCUCAAACCCCCAGCCCGACAAAAAGCAGUGCUCUACACUCAUCUUUCAAACCACCAAUAGCCCCAAAGACCAAACCACAAGACCAGAUAGAUGGAAUAAAGGACGUAGUGAAGGAAGUGAAACUUCAAUCAUCAUUUGCAGUAUCAGACAGUACUGAGACACCUGGGUCUGUGGCAGGUGUAACCUUGUUUGGGCCUGUUAAAAAGUUCAAACCAGUCAUCUGUAAAUCUGUUGAGAAAGAGACAUCUCUGCACAGCAGCCUGAUGGAAGCAAUCCAGACAGGUGGAGGCAUGGAGAGACUGAGGAAGAUAUCCACUACCACCGACAAUGGUAAGAAAGUGGCCUGUGAUGAAGAAGGCAAUGGAAGAUCUGCUCUUCUAGCUGCACUUAGAUCUCAGAACAUCAGCAGACUGAAAAAGACGAAAUCUAAGGCCGCCAGUGAGGUUGAGCGUUUCAGGAAGGAGUGCUCAAAGGAGGAGAAAACAGUGGCGUUAUCCCCCUCCCCUCUGUCUUUGAUCAAACCUGCUUUCACUCCAACCCCACCACCUCCACCUAUGAGUGCACCUCCACCACCUCCUCCUGUAUUUCCCCAGGGUAAACCUAACCCUGUGGGUCAUUUAAAUGCCAACGCCCCCUUGAACCCUGCCCUGGCCAGGGAGGCUUUGCUGGAGGCUAUUCGCUCUGGAUCUGGUGCUGAGAAACUUAGAAAGAUGUAAUAAAAGUACAAAAAGGCAAAGUCAGGAUAGAGUCAGGGAAGAAACCUUGGAACAGCAGCAGAAAAAAAACAUGUUGAGCUGAAAGUGUCCUCUUUCAUCCCACCACUUUGGUCUGAUUUCAGAUGGUUUGAUCUCACAGUCAACAUUAAUGAACCCUGGGGAUGGAUUUCAAAAUGUAGCACAGAAAUAUUGAUGGUAUCUACCCCCAGAAAGACUGUCCAAGUGAAUGGCAGGCUGGGAACUAUUCAUAAAACCUCAUCAACGAUCCUUCAACAUUGAGCUGGUG